GGAAUAUUGGGCAAUGCCCGCAAGGGUGACCCAGCAACGCCGCGUGGAGGAUGAAUGUCGUAAGAUUGUAAACUCCUGUUAGAGGGGAAGAAUAGUACCGGUUGGACCGGUAUAUGACUGUACCCUCAGAGAAAGCCCCGGCUAACUACGUGCCAGCAGCCGCGGUAAUACGUAGGGGGCAAGCGUUGUCCGGAUUUACUGGGUGUAAAGGGCGCGCAGGCGGGAUAAAAAGUCAGUGGUAAAAUCCUACAGCUUAACUGUAGAACUGCCUUUGAUACUUUUAUUCUUGAGUUCGGGAGAGAGAGACGGAAUUCCAGGUGUAGUGGUGAAAUACGUAGAUAUCUGGAAGAACACCAGUUGCGAAGGCGGUCUCUUGAUCCGACACUGACGCUGAGGCGCGAAAGCGUGGGGAGCAAACA
rnacentral:rRNA from 1 species